CCUGGUUGAUCCUGCCAGUAGUCAUAUGCUUGUUUUAAAGAUUAAGCCAUGCAAGUGAAAGUGUAAAUAUUUAAAAGUAGGACUGCGGAAGGCUCAUUACUUCAGUUAUUAUUUUCUCAUGUUUUAUAUAGGAUAACGGUGGUAAUUCUAGCGCUAAAACAAGAAUAGAAGAUCAAUUAUAUGAAUAAAUUGAAAUCCUAAAUUUGCAAAAAUAACAGUGAAUUUGUAUCUGUCCCAUCAGCUUGGAGGUAAGGUAAAGGCUUACCUUUGCGGUAACGGGUAACGGGGGAUUAGGGUUUGAUUCCGGAGAGGGAGCCUGAGAAAUAGCUACUACAUCUAAGGAAGGCAGCAGGCGCGCAAAUUACCCAAUUCUGAUACAGAGAGGUAGUAACAAAAAAUAAUCGUGCUGAUAAUUUCAGCUCGUAAAAUGAGUAAAUUGUAAAAAAUUUUACAAGUAUCAAUUGGAGGGCAAGUCUGGUGCCAGCAGCCGCGGUAAUUCCAGCUCCAGGAGCGUAUAUUAAAGUUGUUGCGGUUAAAACGCUCGUAGUUGAAUGUAAUAAAGAAUUUUCUGAAUUCUGCAACUUUGAAGAAAUAUAACAGCUUAAGUGUUAA
rnacentral:rRNA from 1 species